GAAAAUAAAAUCUUGGUCAUCUUAUCCAUGAGACAAGAUUUAUAAGUUUCCAAUGAUACAUAAUCAUUUGGGUCAAAAAAUUCUUCUUUAUAUAACUUGUUUAUCCUUGACUCACUAAUAUGACCAAAGCAACAAUGCCAGAGAUAUGUGACAUUCACAUUUUCUCUCUUUCUUUUCAUAUUUUUUUCAAUAUAAAAAAUAUUUUUAUUGAGUGCAAGAAUUAAAAGAUUGUUAUCAAUAUAACCACUACCAU
rnacentral:lncRNA from 1 species